UACGUAGGGAGCAAGCGUUGUCCGGAAUCAUUGGGCGUAAAGCGCGCGUAGGCGGCCCGGUCAGCUCGUCGUGAAAGUCAAAGGCUCAACCUUUGAAUGUCGAUGGAUACUGCCGGGCUAGAGUCCGGAAGAGGCGAGUGGAAUUCCUGGUGUAGCGGUGGAAUGCGCAGAUAUCAGGAGGAACACCCGUGGCUAAGGCGGCUCUCUAGUACGUGACUGACGCUGAGACGCGAAAGCGUGGGGAGCGAACAGG
rnacentral:rRNA from 1 species